AGACAGAAUUUGAAUGGUCAGUAAUGCAAAUCAUCAAAGUUGGUGUGAUGUGUUAAAUUUGCUCAUAUCACAGCUAGCUUUGAUGAGCUUGCUUUGCUGGAAGGAAAAGAUGUUAUGCU
rnacentral:pre_miRNA from 10 species